rnacentral:tRNA from 1 species
GGGCCUGUAGCUCAGUUGGUUAGAGCGCACGCCUGAUAAGCGUGAGGUCAGAAGUUCAAGUCUUCUCAGGCCCACCA